rnacentral:tmRNA from 2 species
GGGGAUGUCAAGGCUUCGACAUGAUUGAUAAACUUAUUAGUUCAGUAGGGUCUGCCCUUUAUAGCUCAAGGUAAUAAUAACCGACAAAACUUCUAAAGAACUAGCUGACGAAAACUUUGUUUUAAAUCAGUUAGCAUCAAACAACUACGCUUUAAACUUCUAAAUAACAAAUAGCGUACUAGGUUUUUUUAAAAACCUAGAUUUAUAGGAUAAAACUAGAUUUUGUAACUCGUUUUUAGUUUUACUAUUAAUACUGAUUAAUUAGUUUUUUGACCUAACGAUUACUACGAACCAAGAUGUUGAUACUUAUUACUUGGUUUGAGCUUCAUAAGUAUCUAAACUGUAAAUAAAACUAAUUUGCUGAGUCGAUUGUGGAAACGGGUUCGAUUCCCGUCAUCUCCACCA